UCUGGUAUUGGCCUAGUAGCGGCGAGCGAAGCGGGAAGAGCUCAAAUUUAUAAUCUGGCACCUUCGGUGUCCGAGUUGUAAUCUCUAGAAAUGUUUUCCGCGUUGGACCGCACACAAGUCUGUUGGAAUACAGCGGCAUAGUGGUGAGACCCCCGUAUAUGGUGCGGACGCCCAGCGCUUUGUGAUACAUUUUCGAAGAGUCGAGUUGUUUGGGAAUGCAGCUCAAAUUGGGUGGUAAAUUCCAUCUAAAGCUAAAUAUUGGCGAGAGACCGAUAGCGAACAAGUACCGUGAGGGAAAGAUGAAAAGCACUUUGGAAAGAGAGUUAACAGUACGUGAAAUUGUUGGAAGGGAAACGCUUGAAGUCAGACUUGCUUGCCGAGCAAUCGGUUUGCAGGCCAGCAUCAGUUUUCCGGGAUGGAUAAUGGUAGAGAGAAGGUAGCAGUUUCGGCUGUGUUAUAGCUCUCUGCUGGAUACAUCUUGGGGGACUGAGGAACGCAGUGUGCCUUUGGCGGGGGUUUCGACCUCUUCACACUUAGGAUGCUGGUGGAAUGGCUUUAAACGACCCGUCUUAA
rnacentral:rRNA from 1 species